ACAGUGAAUACAUUUAUUAGUAGUAGGAAGGGAAUUACAAUAACUAAAAUUAAUGUUUAGUUCAACAUGUGCUUAUUUUCUCCAUCUUUACAUAUUCAGCAAUUACAUUUACAUUUAGUAAAUUAAUUGUGGAUAUUUUUAAAGUCAUUUUUAAAGUCAUAACAGGCUUUUAAAGAGGUUUGCAAACACCUGGGUGAAUAAUAACGUGGUUUUCAGGAGAAACACGAGUUGAGAAAUUAAGUUAAGUAUUAUAUCUAGGAGAAGGCUGCAGAUUGCGCAUGCGCGGUUCGCGUCCGUUAGAAAACGCAGCAGAUUGCGCAUGCGCGGUUCGCGUCCGUUCCCCUUCACUCUGUCCUUUCGCGCUGCACAGAAACCCCGUCCGGAACAUCGACACGACAAACACGAUCAUGUCUGAGAAAGGACAGAAGCAGAAAGGAAGCAGUGAGAGCUGCCAUCACUGCAAGCCAAAGACAUGCGCAGACUCUGCUGUAGCUGCAGUGUGA
ensembl:lncRNA